rnacentral:rRNA from 1 species
CCCUUAGACGUUCUGGGCCGCACGCGCGCUACACUGACCAGUGCAACAAGCAUCCGUCCUUGGCCGACAGGCUCGGGCAAUCUUUGAACGCUGGUCGUGAUGGGGAUAGACUUUUGCAAUUUUUGGUCUUCAACGAGGAAUUCCUAGUAAACGCAAGUCAUCAACUUGCAUUGAUUACGUCCCUGCCCUUUGUACACACCGCCCGUCGCACCUACCGAUUGAAUGGUCCGGUGAAGCCUCCGGAUUGGCGCGCACCUCGGUGCCGCCGAGAAGUUGGCUAAACCUUACCAUUUAGAGGAAGGUGAANUCGUAGCA